GAUGUGUAUAUGGACAUGUUGUCAGGUCACAAAGGGUGAUGUGUAUAUGGACAUGUUGUCAGGUCACAAAGGGUGAUGUGUAUAUGGACAUGUUGUCAGGUCACAAAGGGUGAUGUGUAUAUGGACAUGUUGUCAGGUCACAAAGGGUGAUGUGUAUAUGGACAUGUUGUCAGGUCACAAAGGGUGAUGUGUAUAUGGACAUGUUGUCAGGUCACAAAGGGUGAUGUGUAUAUGGACAUGUUGUCAGGUCACAAAGGGUGAUGUGUAUAUGGACAUGUUGUCAGGUCACAAAGGGUGAUGUGUAUAUGGACAUGUUGUCAGGUCACAAAGGGUGAUGUGUAUAUGGACAUGUUGUCAGGUCACAAAGGGUGAUGUGUAUAUGGACAUGUUGUCAGGUCACAAAGGGUGAUGUGUAUAUGGAC